rnacentral:tRNA from 1 species
GGUGAGAUGGCCGAGUUGGUUAUGGCGCCAGGUUAAGGUUAUUCUUAACAAUUAUUCCUGGUCACGAAAGUGGCGUGGGUUCAAGUCCCACUCUCAUCA